ACACAUGCAAGUCGAACGGCAGCACAGUAAGAGCUUGCUCUUAUGGGUGGCGAGUGGCGGACGGGUGAGGAAUACAUCGGAAUCUACUCUUUCGUGGGGGAUAACGUAGGGAAACUUACGCUAAUACCGCAUACGACCUACGGGUGAAAGCGGAGGACCUUCGGGCUUCGCGCGGUUGAAUGAGCCGAUGUCGGAUUAGCUAGUUGGCGGGGUAAAGGCCCACCAAGGCGACGAUCCGUAGCUGGUCUGAGAGGAUGAUCAGCCACACUGGAACUGAGACACGGUCCAGACUCCUACGGGAGGCAGCAGUGGGGAAUAUUGGACAAUGGGCGCAAGCCUGAUCCAGCCAUGCCGCGUGGGUGAAGAAGGCCUUCGGGUUGUAAAGCCCUUUUGUUGGGAAAGAAAAGCAGUCGGUUAAUACCCGAUUGUUCUGACGGUACCCAAAGAAUAAGCACCGGCUAACUUCGUGCCAGCAGCCGCGGUAAUACGAAGGGUGCAAGCGUUACUCGGAAUUACUGGGCGUAAAGCGUGCGUAGGUGGUGGUUUAAGUCUGUUGUGAAAGCCCUGGGCUCAACCUGGGAAUUGCAGUGGAUACUGGAUCACUAGAGUGUGGUAGAGGGUAGCGGAGUUCUCGGUGUAGCAGUGAAAUGCGUAGAGAUCGGGGAGGAGCAUCCGUCGCGGAGACGGCUACCUGGACCGAACACUGACACUGAGGCACGAAAGCGUGGGGAGCGAACAAGAUUACAUACUCUGCUAGGCCAGUCCCUCCACGAUGCGAACUGAAUGUUGGGUGCAAUUUGGCACUGCAGUAUCGAAGCUAACGCGUUAAGGUACUCGUCCUGCCUAGGGGUAGUACAGGUCGCAAGACUGGAAACUCUAAAGGAAUUGACGGGGGCCCGCACAAGCGGUGUGAGUAUGUGGUUUAAUUCGAUGCAGACGCUGAAGAACCUUACCUGGUCUUGACAUCCACGGAACUUUCCAGAGAUGGAUUGGUGCCUUCGGGAACCGUGAGACAGGUGCUGCAUGGCUGUCGUCAGCUCGUGUCGUGAGAUGUUGGGUUAAGUCCCGCAACGAGCGCAACCCUUGUCCUUAGUUGCCAGCACGUAAUGGUGGGAACUCUAAGGAGACCGCCGGUGACAAACCGGAGGAAGGUGGGGAUGACGUCAAGUCAUCAUGGCCCUUACGACCAGGGCUACACACGUACUACAAUGGUAGGGACAGAGGGCUGCAAACCCGCGAGGGCAAGCCAAUCCCAGAAACCCUAUCUCAGUCCGGAUUGGAGUCUGCAACUCGACUCCAUGAAGUCGGAAUCGCUAGUAAUCGCAGAUCAGCAUUGCUGCGGUGAAUACGUUCCCGGGCCUUGUACACACCGCCCGUCACACCAUGGGAGUUUGUUGCACCAGAAGCAGGUAGCUUAACCUUCGGGAGGGCGCUGCC
rnacentral:rRNA from 1 species